CAUUAUCGAAUGAAACUGGGGAGGCCUGCAAUGCUGGCACUGUGGCUGGCAAGAUUCAGUUCUGGCAUGUGCACGUCCCUUGCUGUUGCUUCCCCUCUUACACUCACCCCUGUGCACCUGUUGUAGGUCCUUCGCAAGAGGGAUCUAUGUUUUCAUCAUCACACCCAUGUUUCGAAUGUCUGUAGAGCAUACUUGGAAUGUCCUUCGACUCGCUCGGGUCGAGUAGCGUUCCAUGAAUGGACAAUAGCAUAACUUUCAGCAACGGAUCUCUUGGCUCUCGCAUCGAUGAAGAAUGCAGCGAAUUGCGAUAAGUAAUGUGAAUUGCAGAUUUUCAGUGAAUCAUCGAAUCUUUGAACGCACCUUGCGCUCCUUGGUAUUCCGAGGAGCAUGCCUGUUUGAGUGUCAUUGAUUUCUCAACCAUGUCUUGAUUGACCUUGAGGCCUGGCUUGGAUGGUGGAAGCUUGCUGGCGUGCGUCUCCAUGUUAGCUCUUCUGAAAUGCAUUAGCGAUGGACAGGCAAUGCUUUGACAUGUGCACGGCCUUUCGACGUGAUAAUGAUCGUCGUGGCUGACAUGUGUGUGUUGGACAUUGCAUGGACCAGUCUGAUCGCUUCUAAUUCUCAUCGGUACAGACUUGAUUCUCAACCCCCCCAUGUCUAGCAACUACUAGUCGGUCGUAAUGACUGGCGAACGAAGCUUUGAUCUAUGGCUUGUCAUCGAGUGCUUUGUACAUCCAUUCGAACACUUGACCUCAAAUCAGGCAGGACUACCCGCUGAACUUAAGCAUAU
rnacentral:sRNA from 1 species